UUAAUGUCUAAAUUUAAAAUGACAGUUAUACGCGCCGAGUGAGGGGGGAAAUUAAAAAGUUCUCUGAUAGGAAGCUGAUUAAAGUCGAUUGAGUAUUAAUAUUAUAGACAUCAGUGCCAAUGACGAGAAACAA
rnacentral:snoRNA from 1 species